GCAUUCUUGCUAACCUUUAAUAUAAUCCUCCUGUAUCUAUCGUGUAAUUUCAGGCCAAAAAAAGGAAAUCUAAUGCGCGGGAUAUCUUUUCUAUAGUUGAUUUUGAAUGACUUUGUUUGGUGCCUUAUUUUUCUUUUUUCUGGUUUACUUCUUUGUUCAUCUUCAAUUUGGUUUCUCUAUCUUUAUAUACGGAUGCUUUUUCAAUUUGAUUUUUGUCUCAAGUGGUUCAGAUUUUUGCAAAUUAUUGUACAUGAUGGGUGAUUUGCUUCCGAGUUUUCUCAAAACUUGUGUCAAGAAGUGUUGCUGCAAGAUGGGUAGAGGAAAGAUUGAGAUCAAGAUGAUCGAGAACGUACACUACCAAUCGUCAAGUCACCUUCUGCAAGCGGAGAAAUGAACUCUUGAAGAAAGCUUGUGCUGUUGCUUGCUUGGUAUGCACCAAGGCUUAUGCUGUUACUUGUGCUAUUAGCUUGUGCUGUUACUUAUGUUGUUGCUUGCUUGGUAUGACACCAAGGCUUCUGAACUGUAACUGUGGUUUUGAUGUGUUGUACAGUGGAGGAAAAGCUAGAUUGGUGCUAAAAGUAUGCACACUAGAGGAAACAAGAAAAUGAGACUACUUAGAUUAGAAUCUUGGAUUUUGGAAUAUUGGAUUUUGUAAUGAAUAUUAUGAGACUACUUAGGCCGUAAUGAGCUGCUUCGUAAUGUUGUAUCCAAUUGGAAUGAAUAUUAUGACUCAAUAUUUUACUAGAUGACUUAAUCUAAGGAUGGUUAUUUGAUGACAGUGUAAAUGGUUUUGUGUUCAGUUGUGGAUGGAUUUUGUGUAUAUAAUCAUUGUGGAGACUGUGUAUUAUGAAGAUGUAUAGCUUGUGAUUCCUUAGGAAUUGGGAGUACAUGUUGUUAAGCUUACCAUACAAAACUUGUAUAUGAAAUCAAUCAAGCUUUCAAUGUCA